rnacentral:rRNA from 1 species
GACGAACGGCUGGCGGCGUGCCUAACACAUGCAAGUCGAGCGGAGUAUAGAUGGAGAUUUAUCUUUAUUUAUACUUAGCGGCGAACGGGUGAGUAACGCGUGGGUAACCUACCUCAUACAGGGGGAUAACACUGGGAAACUAGUGCUAAUACCGCAUAAAAUUACGACAGGGCAUCCUGAAGUAAUCAAAGGAGAAAUCCGGUGUGAGAUGGGCCCGCGUCCGAUUAGCUAGUUGGUAGGGUAAAGGCCUACCAAGGCGACGAUCGGUAGCCGAACUGAGAGGUUGAUCGGCCACAUUGGGACUGAGACACGGCCCAGACUCCUACGGGAGGCAGCAGUGGGGAAUAUUGCGCAAUGGGGGGAACCCUGACGCAGCAACGCCGCGUGAAGGAAGAAGGCCUUCGGGUUGUAAACUUCUUUGAUGAGGGACGAAGGAAGUGACGGUACCUCAAAAACAAGCCACGGCUAACUACGUG